rnacentral:rRNA from 1 species
AUUGAACGCUGGCGGCAGGCCUAACACAUGCAAGUCGGGCGAACGGCGGACGGGUGAGUAGUGUAUGGAGAUCUGCCUGAUGGCGGGGGAUGACGACUGGAAACGUUAGCUAAUACCGCUUAACAUCAGAUGAACCCAUAUGGGAUUAGCUAGUAGGUGAGGUAACGGCUUACCUAGGCGACGAUCCCUAGCGGGUCUGAGAGGAUGAUCGGCCACACUGGGACUGAGACACGGCCCAGACUCCUACGGGAGGCAGCAGUGGGGAAUUUUACACAAUGGACGCAAGCCUGAUGCAGCAAUGCCGCGUGUAUGAAGAAGGCCUUCGGGUUGUAAAGUACUUUCAGUCGGGAGGCGUUACCGACAGAAGAAGCACCGGCUAACUCCGUGCCAGCAGCCGCGGUAAUAC